UUCAGUGGACGAGCUGGGAGAUGAGGUAGGGUAUAUAGCUUACGCAAGUCACUUGGUUUAAAUAAGUGAAAACUACUGACAAAUUCAUUUUUCUAUUUUUCUCCCUUGAGAAACCCACGUUCAGAAAAAAUCACGGGUGUAUCCAUUUUUUCUGAGAAAAUUUCUCCCAGACCCGUAGUUUUAUAAAAUUAUGUUUCGUCUUUUUUCUUCUUCUCUUCUCCGAUUCGUCUUGUUCUUCCUCUUUACUCUACUGUGACCUCCCUACGAGUAAAAUUAACCAUAGGGAAAACCCUAAAAAUCAGAAGCAAAUCAUAAUCCUAGAAAUCAGAAGCAAAUCAUCUUCACGGAAAGAGAAGAAGGUUAUCACGUCCGCAGCAGGAGAAAGUUCGGAUUUGAGACUAGAUGUGGGUUUAGCGCCUUCAAAUAAUGGCACAGAGAUACUUUCUCAAGAUGCACAGGAGAAGUUAGUUAGCAAUGGCAAGGUAAUCUCAAUUUCAAUAGUUAAAUAUUUUGUGAUUCUUUACGUUACAUAAAUUGUGGAUGAAACUCCACAAUCUGUUUACAUCUUUGAGUUGAAUGGUCUUUUGUAUAAGUACUAAAAUGUCAAUGAUCAAAACUCAACCAAGGUUGAUGACAAACCAAGACAAGGACAGAACUGAGAAGUUGAUCAUCAUAUGUAUUGUGUGUUUUGACAUAAUAAAUUAAGAAACUAAUUACAUAUUUUCUUAAGUAAUUAGCUCAAUGUGUGGAAUUAUCAUGCACCAUGGCUGUCUUGUCAUUCUGAAUGAGAUUAGGAUGGCCAUGGCAUUUUGCUGCUGGAUGUAUUUGAGUAUAGUACUAACAACUUGACUAUGUGAAAACCACAAUAUGAUAAAAGUGAAAAUUACAAGAGCUGGCAUUUUGCUGGUGGACAUGUAUUUUCUUAAAAUAACCUUAAGAAUUUGCUUGCAAGAGUUGUAAGCACAAGUUUUGGUUCGGUAUGUCUCUAAAUCAACAUGUUUGGUUCGGUAUCUCUCUACAAGUGGUUUCAAGCACUCAUAAAUAAACAUGACCAUCAUUAAAGUAAUAUUAUUAUUAAUAUUGUGGGGAAGCCAAAAUAAAUCCAGAAAGACUUGGUGAUGUCAUGGUAUUGCAGACUAUUGAGCUGAAUUGCAGGUGGAACCUGGUGUUUUGAGCACAAGUUGAAGCGGAUGGAGAAUGAGUUUUGUUACUGCAGUAAAUGGAGAUGACAAUACUCAUGGAGAAUGGUAAUGCCGAGGAGAUGAUGCGCUAAUAUUCAGCUGUUGUUGUUAUGAAUUAUGGUGUAUGUUGAUUAUUUACGUAUUGAUUGAGCGAGAACAAAUAGCUUCUUCUCAUAUUUUUCAAGUGUGUCUCGAUGCUGCCCUUUAUCA